CUCUUUAGCUUGGCAUUUGAAUCGGCUUUGCUGUUGCGAAGUAGA
rnacentral:rRNA from 1 species